GUCAUCACAUUGGAUAAUUAUAGGAUUUAUUAUAUAUUAAAUAAUAAAUAAGAGUAUUCUCUUUUUAGUCAGUGAUAUCAAACUUAAAAGACAGGCGAUUAAUUCAAAAGCUAGCAUGAACGGAGAAAGUUUUCUGUGGCAGGCGGUGGGGAUGGCAGGUCGUGGUUUAAAGCGUGAUAGCGCAAACUUGAUCACUUCACCUCCAAUUAUAAAUGAAGAAGAACGUAGCAGACCCUCAUUGUCACCUUUAUUAUCUCCAAUGAUGACUCAAUCUGAUAGUAGACCCUCAUUA